UGAGGAGCUUCUGCGAGAAAUUUCUUCAAAACCAAACCAAACCAAACCAAACCAAACCAAACCAAACCAAACCAAACCAAAUCAACAACCUACUCGGCAGCAAGGAAUAGCCCACUUCCCAAAAUUGACUUGGUACCUGGCAGCAUUCAACAGGAUCUUCCUGUGCCUCCUGCCACCAUGAGAAAAGAGCUUCAGCACACUUUGCUUUUGCAGACUUUGCACUUGCAGACUCUCCAGCUGGCUCCUGAAGGAGAUUCAUGAAUUGUGCAUCAUGCAACUAGUCUGAUCUUGCCUACACAUAACUUUAAUUGCAGUAUCUAACAAUUGGUUUGUACUCUUAAUGCAAAGUAUAACAUCUCUGCCAAAAGCAUCAUAAAUGAUGAUAAUUCUUGAGUAUUUUUUAUAUCCUUAUCCCAGUAUUUGAAUCUUAACCAUGCCUCAGCCUCCCCAGUUUUUGAGAAAGUGUGUUCCUUGUUUUAAUUCUGUGCUUUACAGACAAGCACUGUUUAAUUUCUGUGGAUAUUAGUUGUGUUUUAUUGCAGUGACAAUAGGGUUCAGGACAGGAUGAAGAAAGGCCCCCAUCCAGUCUUUUCAGAAUAUGUAAUAUUUUAUUUCCAUCAAAUCCCAGACUACUUGCCACUUCUCUAAUGUUAGUUAUUCCAGUCUUUAUUAACUUGCUUGACAGGAGAAUCCACUUUUUGUCUAAACCUACCUCUACCCUGAAAUACCCUCACUGAGAUGGUUAUUCCUCCCCAUCCUUAUGAAGCAUAACACUCACUUUGCUCUUGGCUGCCCCUGAACACGGAGUUUUUCUCCAAAAUAUCUGCAAUGCCUCACAAUCUCUUUCCUCCAACUGAAAUGGUUGUCAGGAUUUUGCCAGGUAUAAGAUUAGAUUACAUUUUGCCUGUCAAAAAGGUGUUUAUUGUGUUUUACUUUUUUUUUUUUUUUUUU
rnacentral:lncRNA from 1 species